AUGAUAGAAGAUCUGCUGUACUGGAAAACCAGCCUUACCACAGAAUGUGACAAUGAUGGUAGUACGCCUCUUCACUUCGCUUCAUCUCUACAUCCCAGCAGUGGGUAUUCAAACGUAUUUAGGCAAGUAUUUGAAGCUAAACCGGCACCAGUGUAUCAAGCAGACAAUGAAGGAUUAUUUCCCAUACAUGUCGCUGCCUCGCUAGGCAUCAGAGGUACCAUACAGACCAUUCUUGAGAAUUGUCCUAGUAGUGCUGGAUUGCCCAAUGCUAAAGGAGGGACAUUCCUUCAUGUGGCCGUUGAGAAACGAAGUUUGGAAACGGUUCGCUUUGUCUGCCAAAAACCAUCUUUAACUUGGAUCUUGAAUAUGCAAGACAAUGAAGGAAACACUGCAUUGCAUUUAGCUGUCCAGGCUAGGGAUCUUGGAAUGUUUUGUUCCCUAUUCAGAAAUAAGGAAGUGCAUUUAAAUUUACCAAAUAAGAAAGGACAAACUCCCCUUGAUGUAUCCAGAAGCUUGCUUCCUCCUGGAGCGUAUCAUGCUUGGAACAGUGACAGCAUGAUAUACAUGGCACUCAGAUUGGUUGGCGCUAAACAUAGUUGUGUUCGCUGGGAUCAGAUUGAAGAAAAGUAUAGCCGUCAAUUAAAACCAGAUGAGGUCAAAGAAGCAGAGAAGAUGAAAGAUUCAAGCCAAAUACUUGGCAUCGGUUCAGUUUUAAUAGCAACUGUGGCAUUCGGUGCAACUUUUGCUGUCCCUGGAGGUUUUAUAGCGGAUGAUCAUACCAAUAGAGGCACACCAACACUUGCUGGGAGGUAUACAUUUGACGCAUUCAUGAUGGCCAACGCGUUAGCUUUCAUUUGCUCUUCAGUAGCUACCAUUGGCCUCAUGCUCUCUGGGUCUCCUUUGGUUAAUUUGUGGACUCGCCAUCUCAACUUAGCCGCAUCUGUUUUCUUCAUGUCAAGUUCGGUCACAUGCUUGGCUGCUACUUUUGCACUAGGUGUGUAUAUGGUGCUAGCUCCGGUUGCUCAUGCUACUUGCAUUGCAGUCUGUGUGCUCUGUCCUCUCGCAGUGCUAUAUAGAAGCCUUGAACUCUUGCUGAAGUUGCGUAUUCUUGCACGACCGUUAUGCGUUAGGAUGGGACUAUGUCACGCAUUAACGUGUUUAGCAGGACUGAUCGUUAGCCUAAUGCUCAUGGAACUCUGGCCGUACGUAAUUAUCUUUGGGUGGGCCGCAAUUGCACAGAAGAUCCGAAACUACCUCUGA
rnacentral:rRNA from 1 species